rnacentral:lncRNA from 1 species
GUCUACUAUUAAAUACAUGAAAAAAUUUCUUUGGACCAGCAAAAAAUCUGCUACCAUAAGUAUUUACUUCUUCCUAGUAUAUUUUUAUAUAUGUAGGAUUGUGGCCAUAUAUUAUUGGCAUAAUCCUAUAUAUGUAUUCCCAAUGUGUACUUCGCGUAUCAUCAGUAGUACGCGUAUAUAUACAGUAUAUUGGGAAUCGCUGGAAGAGAACAUGCAAGGUAAGUAAAUAAAGAUCAUAAAAAUCGAAGACAGUUUAACUAAUAAAAACUAAUAUAUUUCUUCUUAAUUAUAAUUUUUGAUAAAAUGAUUCAAUGUAAGAUGAUUUUAAUGCGAAAGAUAAUUUGUUACUAAUGCAUUUUUUCUU